rnacentral:rRNA from 1 species
AUUCCAGCUCCAAUAGCGUAUACUAAAGUUGUUGCAGUUAAAAAGCUCGUAGUUGAAUUUCUGGAUGCGAAAGAUGGUCGGCACCUCACGGUGUCUGUACUUUUCAUUCGCGUCCAUCCUCGGGAGGAACGUGUGGGGCUUUAAGUAGUUCUGCUCGGGAAUCUCGUCAUUUACUGUGAGCAAAAUAGAGUGUUCAAAGCAGGCUUAUGCCGUUGAAUAUAUUAGCAUGGAAUAAUAAGAUACGACUAUGGUCUAUUUUGUUGGUUUGCAUUCCAAAGUAAUGAUUGAUAGGGAUAGUUGGGGGUGCUAGUAUUUUGCGGCCAGAGGUGAAAUUCUGUGAUUCGCGAAAGACUAACUUAUGCGAAAGCAUUCACCAAGGAUGUCUUCAUCA